rnacentral:misc_RNA from 1 species
AAAAAAAAUUAAUUUCAGGACCCGAAAUUUCAGGUAAAGUUGAGCUGCUGGUACCAGCGACGGCCGCAACGGAUUGGUGGUGAAAAAUUAAUUUCUCUUUUUCUUUUUCCAAAAAGAAACAAAAAAAAUUCCAAAUGCAACAAAAAUCAAUAAUGAUUUUCCAUGAAAACCACUUCCAACUCCUCCUGCUGCUUCUGCUAUUUUCCGCCCCCUAUUCUCACUCCAUAAAAAUAAAUACAAGAGGACAAAUAAAAACCAAAAAAAAAUCUAAUCUUGAAGGAGAGAGAGCAAACGUCAGAUAGAUGGAUCUAGUCUGCGUGACGAGGUAGGCUCCAGCUUACGCGCAUGUUUUCUCUCCUGUUUUUUCUCUUCUAUUUUUAUCUCCUUGCUAUUUUUCAUUUUCUCCCUCAUUUAUUUUUCUCUUCUAUCAAUUUCACCAGAGAUCGUUAAUUUCAUCCUCAAUUCCUCUCUUCUCCCUCUUCUUUUUUCGUUCCUGGAUAUUCCUGGAGUGGGACCCUCACUAAAUCUUUUUUCUGAUGGAGGAUGUAAAAGUUGCUGAAGUUAUGCCUCCUCCAGAUUCAUCUUCAUCCUCCCAAGAUAACAAUCAUUCUCAAAAGGAAGGCUUAAUAAGCAAAGUUACUAAUGGAAAGGUAGAAUCUGACAGUAAGUUAUCAGGAAAGGAACAUUCUAAUUUCACAUCUGUCCAUGAUGCCUUUGAUAAACUCAUAAUGGUCCAAGAUCAGCCUCCCCUAGCAGAAAAUUUAGGUCAAAUUCAACUUCUUCCAACAGACAUGGUGUCAACUUCAACAUCUGGUAUAGUGGAGACAGACCAUCCACAUGUAGUUGAGGAAGGUUCAAAAACUGCAAGAGAAGAUUUCUCUAAUGGACAAGAAUUUCAAGAUAAAAUUGGAACUAUUGAAAAAUCCUCAAAUGGACAACAUUACCGCCAGAAAACUGAGGCUGUUCAAGGUUCUGCUGAUGGACUGCAAUUGCAAGAAAAAAUUGAACCCCUGCAAAAUUCCUCUGACGUGCAGCAAUUUCAAAAUACUUCUUUUGCUAAAAGUCCCUGCAUUCAUAUUGAUGACAUUAUACCUAUUGCCUCCACUCCUAAGGUGAGCUUGCAAUCCGAUGAGCUUGAUCUGCCCCAAGUAAAGGUGAGAGUGCAAACAAAUGAAACUACCUCUGCCUCACCAGAUGCAAAUACUGCUGGUCAUGUUGUCCGAACACCAUUAUCUCUCAACACACUUGGAGAUGUUAAUCAGGGUGACAUAAGCAGAGGUCUUAUUGAUACAACAGCACCUUUUGAAUCUGUUAAAGAAGCUGUUUCCAAGUUUGGAGGAAUUGUAGAUUGGAAGGCCCACAAAAUCCGAACUGUAGAGAGACGCAAGCUUGUGGAACAGGAGCUAGAGAAGGUACAGGAGGAAAUGCCCCAGUACAGGAAACAGUCAGAGGAUGCUGAACUGGAAAAAAUACAAGUUCUUAAGGAGCUGGACAGCACUAAAAGACUUAUUGAAGAGCUAAAGCUCAGUCUAGAGAGGGCACAGACGGAAGAGCAUCAGGCAAAACAAGAUUCUGAGCUUGCCAAGCUGAGGGUAGAAGAACUGGAACAAGGGAUUGCUGAUGAGGCUAGUGUUGCAGCAAAGGCUCAGCUUGAGGUUGCUAAAGCCAGGCAUGCAGCUGCAAUUUCAGAACUGAAAUCUGUUAAUGAUGAAUUGGAAACACUGAAAAAGGAAUAUGCUUCUUUGGUCGCUGAGAAAUAUGAAGCUGUUAAGAAAGCUGAAGAGGCUAUUUCUGCAUCCAAGGAAAUUGAGAAGACGGUAGAGGAACUUACUAUUGAGCUGAUUGCUACAAAGGAAUCCUUAGAGUCUGCACAUGCUGCCCAUCUGGAGGCAGAGGAACAAAGAAUAGGAGCAGCUAUGGCCAGGGAGCAAGAUUCUCUGUAUUGGGAAAAGGAAUUGAAGCAGUCAGAAGAGGAGCUCCAGAAACUUAACCAACAAAUUCUUUCAGCAAAAGAUCUCAAAUCAAAAUUGGCAACUGCUUCAGCUUUGUUACUUGAUCUGAAAGCAGAAUUAGCAGCUUAUAUGGAAUCUAAGUUACAGGAGGAAACUGGUCAAGGAAACACAAUAGCUGAGCAGGAGGAACCACAAAAGAGAACUCACACUGACAUACAAGCAGCUGUGGCUUCAGCAAAGAAAGAACUUGAAGAAGUGAAGCUUAACAUAGACAAAGCAACUGAUGAAGUGAAUUGCUUGAAGGUGGCUGCCACAUCGCUGCAAUCAGAUCUUGAAAAAGAAAAAUCUUCUCUUGCUACAAUGAGGCAGAGAGAAGGAAUGGCAUCAAUAGCAGUUGCUUCUCUUGAAGCUGAGCUGGAUAAUACUAGGUCAGAGAUAGCUCUAGUUCAGAUGAAGGAGAAAGAAGCAAAAGAAAAGAUGGCAGAGUUGCCUAAGCAACUGCAGCAAGCAGCAAAAGCAGCUGAUGAGGCCAAGCAGCUGGCUCAAAUAGCUCGUGAAGAGCUGCGCAAGGCAAAGGAAGAAGCAGAACAAGCAAAGGCUGGAGCAAGUACAAUGGAGAGCAGGCUACUUGCAGCUCAAAAAGAGAUAGAGGCUGCCAAGGCUUCUGAAAAAUUGGCUUUAGCAGCUAUUAAAGCAUUGCAAGAGAGUGAAUCAGCUCAAAGCACCAAGGAUGUAGAUUCACCUGCUGGUAUAACACUUUCUUUAGAGGAGUACUAUGAGUUGAGUAAACGAGCUUGUGAGGCAGAGGAGCAGGCCAACACAAGGGUGGCAGCUGCAAUUUCUCAAAUAGAGGUAGCUAAGGAAUCUGAGUUGAAGACUGCAGAGAAGUUGGAAGAAGUGAAUAAAGAGAUGGCUGCAAGAAAGGAAGCAUUAAAAAUUGCAAUGGACAAGGCUGAGAAAGCCAAGGAAGGGAAACUGAAUGUAGAACAAGAGUUGAGGAGGUGGAGGGCAGAACACGAGCAAAGACGAAAGACUGGUGAACCUGGUCAAGGAGUUGCGGCCACUGUUAAAAGCACAAAUGGAAGCUUUGAAGACAGGAAGGAAUCCAAGAACUUUGACAAGGUACCAGAUGCCUCAGUCGAGUAUGAGUCCAGUCCAAAAGCACAUGCGCAUGUAACUAGCACUGAACCUGAAUUGUCCCCGGAAGUAAAGGUUCAAAAGAAGAAAAAGAAGUCAUUUUUCCCGCGGUUUUUAAUGUUUUUAACAAGGAAAAGGUCACACACAUCCAAGGCAGGGUAAAAAUUCUGUGAACCCAGAACAGAAGCAUUGCCUCAGUUGUGAUUUUUCCUUUCUUUGCUGGGCAUUUACCUCGACAUUUACCAUAAAAUUAUGGAUAUGAUCAUACAGAGGUUUUUUCCUCUAAUGUAAAUGUAGGUUAUUAAUUUGUGUAUGAUAAGUUAGUUGCAUUAUAUAUAUUUUUUUCCCUCUCAGAUGAGAAAUGGGUAGGUUAUUUGAUAUUCUAGUGUUUGGCUGGGGAAGGACAUAAUAAGUUGUUUCUGUAAUGUAUAGAUUUGCAGCAUUUGCACAUGGAAACCUUGUAAAGGUGUGAGCUAAAUUGAAAUUAGUUUUUCAUUUAUAAUUUUUAAAGUUUAUUUUUAUUGUU